CCCUUCGCGAAAGAAGUACAAAAAAGAGAAAUGGAUGGUCUUUUCCUGGCGAUAUGGAAUGUACCUGCGCCGCUGAAUAAUUCUGCAAUGCAACUGCUGACAGCGCUCUGGUUUGCUAAUAUUUUUCAGAUUUUACACUCCUGCUGCGCGUCUCCUGAAAAUCCAGGCUCUCCUCAAAACCCUGAGAACACUGGAAUAAACGAUGACUAUAUCUUGGUGACACCUGUUAAGGUUGACCCGGGCGGAGGUUCUGUGCAGACUAACAGAGAGAAGCGCUCAGCGCCCAUGGAUUCCCUGCAUUACAAACUCUCCUUCUCCGACCAGGAGCUGCACCUCGACUUAAGACCCUCGAACGUGCUGGCGAAAGGUUUCAGGGUGCACCUACUGGGUUCGCAGGGUGUCACCGAGGAACCCCUCUCGGAGCCUCAAGCGAGCUGCUUCUAUCAGGGACACAUCAGGAACGACAGCACUUCUUCUGUGGCUGUGUCGACAUGCCAGGGUUUGUCAGGUUUAAUACGGAGCCAAGAAAAUGAAUACCUUAUAACUCCAUUACCUCAUCACCUGGCACUAAGACACAACUACACCUCAUCUGCUGGUAAUCGCCCUCAUGCACUCUUCAAGCGAUCGGUGGAGCACAGAAUGCAACAGCGGCCAGUGAGUAGUGGACAUCAUCACCAGCACCAUCUCCACUCUUAUCAUCCCCAACUGCAAAAGCAUCAGCAGCACAAGAGAGAUCAGAAGCAACACUACUGUGGGCGACGAAAGAAAUACAUGCCUCAACCUCCGGUCGAAGAUAUCCACCUCUUGUCCGAUGAAUACAGCUCUAGGAGCAGACUGAAACGCACAGCCUUCGAUUCCCGGAAGUCCGGGGGGCUUACUGUUGAAACGCUUGUGGUGGCAGACAAGAAGAUGCUUGAGAGACACGGCAGAGAGAAUAUCACGACUUAUAUCCUCACCGUUAUGAAUAUGGUAUCCAGUCUUUUCAAAGAUGGCACCAUCGGAAAUGACAUAAAGAUUGUGGUUGUGAGCCUGUUACUUCUGGAGCAGGAUCCACCUGGGUUAGUGAUCAACCAUCACGCAGACCAAUCAUUGAAUAGCUUCUGCCAGUGGCAGUCUGGCCUGAUGGAAAAGAACGGAAAGCGGCAUGAUCAUGCGGUGUUACUGACUGGACUGGACAUCUGCUCUUGGAAGAAUGAACCUUGUGAUACAUUGGGUUUUGCUCCGAUUAGUGGAAUGUGCAGCAAGUACAGAAGCUGCACCAUCAAUGAAGACACGGGCCUGGGCCUAGCUUUCACCAUUGCUCAUGAAUCUGGACAUAACUUUGGCAUGAUUCAUGAUGGGGAAGGAAACCCAUGUCGAAAGACGGAGGGUAAUAUCAUGUCACCAACCCUGGCUGGGAACAAUGGCGUUUUCUCAUGGUCUGCAUGCAGUAGACGGUAUCUCAGCAGGUUCCUCAGUACGGCUCAGGCCUCCUGUCUGAUUGACGAACCUAAUCAGCUGCGUGAGUACCAGUAUCCCACAGGGCUGCCGGGGGAACUAUAUGAUGCCGACACCCAGUGCAAGUGGCAGUUUGGAGCAAAAGCCAAACUGUGCUCCCUCGACUUUGUGAAGGACAUUUGCAAAGCACUUUGGUGCCAUAAGAGUGGGCACAGAUGUGAAACAAAGUUUAUGCCAGCUGCAGAGGGUACAGUUUGUGGACCUAACAAGUGGUGUCGGCGAGGUCAGUGCUUGAAAUAUGGAGACGAUGGCCCCAAGCCCAUUAACGGUCAGUGGUCCAGCUGGUCAGAGUGGUCGGAAUGCUCCCGGACCUGCGAUGGUGGAGUUAACUACAGGGAGAGACACUGCAACAGCCCAAAGCCUCAGUAUGGGGGAAAGUUCUGCCAUGGUUCCAGCCGGCUCUAUCAGAUGUGUAAUGUCCAGGUUUGUCAACACAGCAGCGUCCUGUUCCGAGACCAGCAAUGUGCCGAGUACAACAGCAAGCCUUUCAGGGGCUGGUACUACAAGUGGAAGCCCUACACAAAGGUCAAUGAUGAAGAUGUUUGCAAGUUGUAUUGCAUUGCUGAAGAUUUUGACUUCUUCUUUGCCAUGUCUAACAAAGUGAAGGAUGGAACUCGGUGCGUUGAGAACAAAUUCGAUGUUUGCAUCGAUGGCAUUUGUGAGGCGGUGGGAUGUGACCAUGUUCUGGGCUCCAAGGCUGGCGUGGAUGCUUGUGGAUUAUGCAAUGGAGACAAUUCAACCUGCAAAUUCUUCAGAGGGCAGUACCAUCAACAGCACCGGGCAAAUGAGUACUACCUUGUUGUCACGGUACCAGCGGGGGCUCGGAGCAUUCACGUGCAGGAGCUGGAGAUCUCAACGAGUUACUUGGCAGUGCGCAGCCUGAAGGGCAAAUACCACCUGACAGGGGAUUGGACAGUGGACUGGCCGGGGCAGUUCAGGUUUGGAGGAGCUGUGUUUCACUACCAGCGGUCAUUCAACACACCAGAGAGCCUGUACUCAGCGGGUCCAACUAAUGAGACACUCGCCUUUGAAAUCCUGUUACAAGGCAAAAAUCCAGGUAUUGCCUGGGAAUACACGUUACCGAUUGCUGCUAAUGAAAGCAAGACCACUGUUCAGAAACACAACUACACCUGGGUGGUCGUGCGAUCAGGUUGCUCAGCAUCAUGUGCAGGAGGAAAAAUGGUGACCACUGCAUAUUGUCUACAAGAUCACUUGAUGCAAGUCAACUCCACCUUGUGUCAUGCACAGACAAGACCAGUCACGGGAUCAAUUACCUGCAACACUCAGCCCUGCCCUGCAAGUUGGUCGGCUGGCAAAUGGGAUGACUGCAGCAGGUCUUGCGGAGGAGGGAAGCAGGCGCGGCAGAUCCAGUGUUUCCGUAAGGUAGCUUUCCAACGAGAUGAAGCAGUGCCAAGCUCCAUGUGCCCACCGGUGGCACCUGCCCAGAUACAGCCCUGCAACAUCCAGGACUGCCCGCCUGAGUGGACUACGGGAGCGUGGACCCAGUGUUCCAAGACGUGUGGAAGGGGGAUGAGGAAACGUGUCAUCUACUGUAGAAGCACGAACCCUACGUCAAAGCCUCAUGCCGUACCAGAGAGUCUGUGCAACCAGGAAGUGAAGCCAAAGAGUCAGGAGAUGUGUGUGCUCCGGCGCUGCCCAAAGAAUGACAGACUCCGUUGGAUCACCUCACCGUGGACCAAGUGCUCGGUAUCCUGCGGUCUCGGCCUACAGAAACGGGAGCUAAGAUGCAGCGAGAAAAUCCUGUCAGGAAAACACAUCGAGUUUCCCCAAAGACGAUGUCGUCACUUGCCCAAAGCACAUAUCGAGCUCGAACGGGUAUGUAACCUCGGAGACUGCCCAAAACGCUCCUUGGAUCAAAUACCCAACCAUGCUGGAUCAGCUUGGUAUGCAUCACCAUGGCAACAGUGUACGGUAACAUGCGGGGGAGGAGUCCAGAUGCGUACGGUGCAUUGCCUGUGGCAGGGGCGGCCUGCAGUGGGAUGUUUAGCACAUCAGAAGCCAGCAGUUUCGAGAGCUUGUAACACCAGCUUUUGUCCAUCUCCCAGGAAAGAUCUCAACUGCGUUGACUUCUUCAGCUGGUGUCACCUGGUCCCGCAACAUGGUGUCUGCGGUCACAAGUUCUAUGGCAAGCAGUGCUGCAAAUCCUGCAGCAAAACCACUCGAUAGCAUUCGCUGGAGAAGCCGCCACCCUCUGAUUUCUGCCUUCACCCUUAACCGCAUUCCCUCCCCUCCCCCUUCCCUUGACCUCUCCCCCACCCCCCCCACAUGACAACAUUAUUUAUUAGUCCCAGUCAAGACAUGCUGAUCCACAUGCAUUGAUCAGGACCAGCAAAUGGACAGACUCUGGACUCCUCGAUGGAGGGGGGUUUGGCGGCUAGUCUGGGCAGUGGACUUGAUGGGACAGGUGUCGGCCAGUCCAAGACUGGGUGCACACGUAGCUUGAAGGACUCAUGCUACGGAGAGGGCCGGAUUAUCAACUGGUGCUACACAGACUUUGAAAUAUUGCAGCGUUCACCAUCCAAAUCAACUUCACUUGGUGGGAGUUUCUUUUUUACAUUUUAAUUUGAGGACCCAGCUGGAUACAUUGAAUCAUCUUCAGAGCUGAGAAUCAGAUCAUAAAGCAAGAGCCAGUGGACUGGAGAAGCUUUAUGACAAAGAGCUACAAGACAAUGCACUUACCGAUGGAAGGAGUGUGACUGUUUUCAUUGUCAUAACGAUGGUAAUAUUAACCCUUCAUGGUGCUAACUUCCAGCAGGAAUCUCAGCUGGCCAGUCAAACUGUUACAAAGCAGCAUUACAAACCUUGCUCACCUACAAUAUUAGAGCAGCCUCAUACUGCAAGUAUCUGUUUGUUAAGAUGGGCAGAACGCACAUGUAAGAUUAUCAAGGUUGAGGGUAAUGCAAGGGGAAGAGACUAAUUAAAUAACUGAAGGGUGCAAGUGCAAUUCUGCCGAUUUUCAAUUCAUGUUUACAAUGUCAUUGUUGCGUUUGUUUAUAGAAUUGGAAAGCACAGAUGGAGGCCACUCAGCCCAUCGUAUCUGUGCUGGAUCGGUGUAAGAAGGUUAUCUCACACCCUAUUCUGUCAGUUCAGGUACAAUGAGAAAAUGCUUGGAGAUUGUGCACUUAACAUCUCUCAGACACCAAACCUCAAGUGGAAAUUUAAACGAUGCACUAUUGAGCCCAAAGCAUACCCAGUUGCUGUCAUAUGGUUUGAGAUUUCUCAUCCACUUUGCUUUGCAACUUAGAUUGAUGUGGGGCAUCCCUGAUUAACUCAGCAAGGGCUCAGGACUUCAACUAGUCCUGGGGCACCUGGCAUGUUCCACAGAGAGGAACUUGGAAAAUACUCUUGACAUCAUUCAAAACAAUAGCAAACGACUUUUGCUGGUUUUCCCAACACAGGGUGACUCCAAACUCGUUCACGCACAAUCAUUCAACAAAAGGUCAUCUAUAUGAAUUACAACAUUGAAAGGCAUCUGAUUGGGUAUAUGAAUGGGAAUGGUUUAGAGGGAUAUAGGCCAAAUGCUGUCAAAACGGGACUAGGUUAAUUUAGGAUAUAUGGUCGGCAUGGGUGAGGUGGAUCGAAGGGGCUGUUUCCAUGCUGUACAUCUCCAUGACUCCAUUCUUUUCUCACUCUUAAAGCACUCUCUAUGAUUGCCAGGAUUCAAAUGAGAUUGCCUGCCUUAGCAGAUGGGAUUGAGAUUGACAAUAAAUGUUGGCCCAACCAGCGAUGUCCUUAUCUCAAGAAUGCACAUCAAAAAAAUCUCUGCUCUCAUCCCUGAUUGGUGACGCAGAAUGUAUAGCCUCCAAAUGCAUGAUGGUCUCACAGCUAACUGAAAAUUAAAGACCCUUUAUCACCCAAAUUAGCAUCUACCUUUUCUCUCAUCUCUAUUUUGAUCACAAAAAAAGGUUCAAAGAAAUAUUGAACAGCUUUAAUGUUGCAAUCAUGUUCCUCAAAGCUCUCUCGUAAGUUAAUUAUUAAUGAGUGGCCAUGUUGGACUAACAUUGGUAACCAUUGGAUUAAUCCUAUGAGCUUGAGUCUAAACAUCAAGGGGAUGACUUUAUUCUUGUUGAGUUGGCCAGGGAAUGGGUACAAUUUCCUGCUCUCUUGUUCAUUUCAGUUUUUUUUCAAUAAAAUUGUCUACAGAAAGAAUACCAUCUCCUUGAGCCAUCAGUCAGUGACAGAUUUUGACACGCAAUAGCAGAGCAUUUGAAACAUUUUGAGGUCAUAAAAGGUGAUAGUGAAUGCCAUUUCUCCUUUUCCUAGUUAUCACAUCACUUUUCCAUUGGAAUUUCCAACAGGGAACUGAAAUCAGGCAGCCAGCCUCCUCCUAACCUCCAAUACCAUGGCCCACUGUUGUUCCUUUCCCCUCAUGCCUUGGUAGCUUUCAGUUAAAUGUAUUUAUCCUACCUGCCUCAGCAAUUCCAUUCUCACCACUCGCUGGGUGAAAGCAUUUUUCCUGUAUUCUCUAUUGGAUUGAUUGCUUACCACCUUAUCAUCCCUCCUACAUGGAAGCAUUUUCUCAACAUCCACUUUGCCAAACAGUUACAUCGUUUUAAAAGCCUCAAUUCAAUUACCAACCACCACCACCACCCUCCCCCACCGCU